rnacentral:rRNA from 1 species
GACGAGCGCUGGCGGCGUGCCUAAUACAUGCAAGUCGAGCGCAGGAAAUCGACGGAACCCUUCGGGGGGAAGUCGACGGAAUGAGCGGCGGACGGGUGAGUAACACGUAAAGAACCUGCCCUCAGGUCUGGGAUAACCACGAGAAAUCGGGGCUAAUACCGGAUGGGUCAUCGGACCGCAUGGGCCGAGGAUGAAAGGCGCCUCGGCGUCGCCCGGGGAUGGGUUUGCGGUGCAUUAGCUAGUUGGUGGGGUAAUGGCCCACCAGGGCGACGAUGCAUAGCCGACCUGAGAGGGUGAUCGGCCACACUGGGACUGAGACACGGCCCAGACUCCUACGGGAGGCAGCAGUAGGGAAUCUUCCACAAUGGACGAAAGUCUGAUGGAGCAACGCCGCGUGAACGAUGAAGGCCUUCGGGUCGUAAAGUUCUGUUGUAAGGGAAGAACAAGUGCCGCAGGCAAUGGCGGCACCUUGACGGUACCUUGCGAGAAAGCCACGGCUAACUACGUGCCAGCAGCCGCCGUAAGAC